rnacentral:RNase_P_RNA from 1 species
CGGACAGCAACGAUUGUCGCGUCGUUCUUUAUUGAACGCCGAGGAAAGUCGGGACAGCACAGAGCGCCAUACUUCCUAACGGGAAGGUGCUGUUUUGGAAACGAAACAGCAACAGAGAGUGCCACAGAAAACUACCGUCCGAUCGAGGUCUGACCUUGAAAGGGUAAGGGUGAAAACGUGAGGUAAGAGCUCACGACGCAUUUAGGCGACUAAGUGUGUGGGUAAACCUUAUGGGCUGCAAGGCCAAAUAUGCCGGCGAAAACCGCCUUGUGCGGAAAAGAGGGCUGCAUCGUCCGAUGUCGGUGGGUAGGCUGCUUGAGCUUUUCGGUGACGAAAAGCCUAGAUAAAUGACAGUCUAAUACAGAAUCCUGCUUAUGAUGCUGUUCAAACA